UUUUUCAGUUAAAAAAUAAUAAACACCACAAACUGUCGUCACUGAUAGCCUCAUGGGCAGCGCGUCGACAUGUAGCGCCAUUGCGCUUCGGGUGUCCCGUGUUCGAGUCCUGGCUCGCGGACCUUUCCCCAUC